UGACAAUAGGCAACAUCGUUUUUGCACCGAUCGAUGGGGGUAAGAUUGACAACGUCAAAAUCGCUUAAAGCGUCAUCAACAAACAAUAGUAGCAGUAAACAAAAGAAAACAAUGAACACUAACUGAUUUGAUGUAAACUAAAGUGCUCCUCGUUCGUAUUAAAAAUUCAUUUCGUUCAUGUUGUUACAAGCAAAGUUCUUAUGUUGGCUACGAAAAUAUGACGUCACGUCACCCUCUUGCUCUAGUCUUCACAGCCUUUUAAAUGUCUUCAAAAUGAAGACAUAUCUUCACAUCUGGCAUCGCUGCAUACGAGGUAUCAAACGGCCAUAUUUCCAUGUUAAACCACUGGAUCGCUCUAAGUUGACAAAGUGGAAGGAAAACCUCGAUUUUGCAAUCGAAAAUGUGGAUAAGAAACGUAUUCUUGUAUUGCUUGAACGAUUGGACGAACCGGAUAAUGUUCUACGAUCCUUAACCUGAUAUGAAGCUUACGCUAACAGGUUGUCGUUGCAAAUAAACAUACUUACAUACAUUAUUAUUAUCCGAGGUGCUGAAGAAUAAUUCCCCAUCCGGACAAACUUGGUGUGCACCGGUGUGGCAUUUGCGAAAUUUCAUUACAACAACAAAACCGAUGAGAUACUUGCAAAUCUGGAGGUUUGUUCCAGCUGAUGCAAAUUGACUGUGGGCGAAUAAAUUUGGAGCGCCGUCGUGACGACAAAUGCGUUCAGCUGUAUUAAACGUGUCUGGUGCAAGCAAAUAACUAUUACCGAUAAAAUGGUCAUGAAUAAUAUGCCUGAUUCUUCAAGAUUAAAACAUGUCAACCAGGCACAGGUGCUCGAGGAAGACACGACGACCACGGAAGUUGCACUGCAGUUUAUGGCACGGGAUGGUUUGAAGCGAAUAAAAAGAGGUAUCAUUUGCAUAGUGUUCGUUUCCUUCAUUUACAACAGUGUAAUUUCUAGAAAACUACCCGGAUAGAAUUUUACAAUAGCAUUUACUUUACAAACAACCAUAAAACAAAAAAUAUAGUUAUUACUGUUCAUUGUUCGAUACAAAGUUCUCACAGUAGAUUUUUAAUAAAAUUUCAUGUAACAAUGAAUUUUACUGUUCAGCAAAAAACUGAUACAGUAAAUGCACAUUACAUUUUACUGUUUUCGAGAAAAAAAUGUAUGGAGCAAAAUCGAUUUUUUUAAUGUUAAGAUACAUAACCACCCCCCUUUUUUUACUGUAAAAGUCUAUUUUACAUUGAAAUUUACUGUAAAAACGUUAAAGUUUAUUGUUUUUGUAUUGUAGCAUAACACUAAAACUUACUGUAAGUUAUUGUAAAAUUACUGUACUGUAACAGUGAAAAUCAUGGUUUUAUUACUGUACAUUUCUAUUCGGGUAUCUCCACCCAAAAAAUCAUCAAAGGAAAUUGCGUCCAGUGCACAGUUGGAAUUAUGGUACAACUAUGCUAGCACAACUCCUACUAUUACGGAACUCUGGCAACCCAAUCCAGUCAGUAUCAAUACGAGGAGAGUUCGCCAUACGGCUACAACACCUGAAAUCAACAAUAUUCCAAAGCUGGCUACAGGGAGUACAGUCAGUGGAGCCUGUAUGGAUGUUAUUAAGACUUACAACGGUCACAACAUACAGGCCAGUUGGGGUGCUAGUGCUACAAUUGUACUGACGUAAAGGAUGAUCUCUGCAACAACCCUGAAAUGUUGAAAGUUGUAUGCCAACUGAUUCUGUAAGUUUUAGAACGGUUUUAUUAUAAAUAAAAAUUAAACCCUUGCAAAAAAUGUUUUAUUUU